rnacentral:rRNA from 1 species
UGCGCGUUCCUAUGCAUGCAAGUCGUACGCACGCGCCUUCGGCGCGUGAGUUGGCGCACGGCUGAGUAACACGUGGGAACCCGCCCUCCGGUGGGGGAUAACGCGACGAAAGUCGCGCUAAUCCCGCAUACGUCCGCAAGGGGAAAGCGCUUCGGCGCGCCGGAGGAGGGGCCUGCGGCCCAUCAGGUGGUUGGUGGGGUAACGGCCUACCAAGCCGAUGACGGGUAGCUGGUCUGGGAGGAUGACCAGCCAGACUGGGACUGAGACACGGCCCAGACUCCUACGGGAGGCAGCAGCAAGGAAUUUUCGGCAAUGGGCGCAAGCCUGACCGAGCAACGCCGCGUGCGGGAUGACGGCCUUCGGGUUGUAAACCGCUUUUCGGGGGGACGACUACGACGGUACCCCCGGAAGAAGCCCCGGCUAACUCUGUGCCAGCAGCCGCGGUAAGACAGAGGGGGCGAGCGUUGUCCGGAGUUACUGGGCGUAAAGCGCGCGCAGGCGGUGGUCUCAGUGUCGUGUGAAAGCCCCCGGCUCAACCGGGGGAGGUCAUGGCAAACUAGACGACUGGAGCGGCGGAGAGGCCCCUC